UCUAGGGUAAAAAUUUCUUCAGUUUAGGGUAGGUUCAACAAAUCUCCCUGGAGACACUGGAGUGAUUGCUGGUUACGGCCGAGAUUAUGGCCAUUGCACUGGGACUAAAAGUGGAAAUCGGUGUUGAAGCUGAGCCUCAUGUGAAUGAUACUAUUGAUACAGGAGGCAUAAAUUCAUCAUCAGCUCAGCCUACAAAGGGAAUAUAGAAAUGAAGUGACGUAUAAACAUGACAAUCAGCAUCAAUAAGGCAGUAGGAUCGUGGUGGCACGGUGGAGAAGGCGCUGGGUUGGAUACACGGAAGGGCACGGGUUCGAAUUCAGCUCAGACCAUUUCUUUUUUUUAUUUUUUAUAAU